rnacentral:rRNA from 1 species
GAUGAACGCUGGCGGCGUGCCUAAUACAUGCAAGUCGAGCGAAUGGAUUAAGAGCUUGCUCUUAUGAAGUUAGCGGCGGACGGGUGAGUAACACGUGGGUAACCUGCCCAUAAGACUGGGAUAACUCCGGGAAACCGGGGCUAAUACCGGAUAACAUUUUGAACCGCAUGGUUCGAAAUUGAAAGGCGGCUUCGGCUGUCACUUAUGGAUGGGCCCGGGUCGACUUAGCUAGUUGGUGAGGUAACGGCUCACCAAGGCAACGAUGCGUAGCCGACGUGGGAGGGUGAUCGGCAACAAUGGGACUGAGACACGGCCCAGAAUCCUACGGGAGGCAGCAGUAGGGAAUCUUCCGCAAUGGACGAAAGUCUGACGGAGCAACGCCGCGUGAGUGAUGAAGGCUUUCGGGUCGUAAAACUCUGUUGUUAGGGAAGAACAAGUGCUAGUUGAAUAAGCUGGCACCUUGACGGUACCUAACCAGAAAGCCACGGCUAACUACGUGCCAGCAGCCGCGGUAA